AAGCUCAAAUUUGAAAUCUGGCGUCUUCGACGUCCGAGUUGUAAUUUGAAGAAGGCGACUUUGUAGCUGGUCCUUGUCUAUGUUCCUUGGAACAGGACGUCAUAGAGGGUGAGAAUCCCGUGUGGCGAGGAUCCCAGUUAUUUGUAAAGUGCUUUCGACGAGUCGAGUUGUUUGGGAAUGCAGCUCUAAGUGGGUGGUAAAUUCCAUCUAAAGCUAAAUAUUGGCGAGAGACCGAUAGCGAACAAGUACAGUGAUGGAAAGAUGAAAAGAACUUUGAAAAGAGAGUGAAAAAGUACGUGAAAUUGUUGAAAGGGAAGGGCAUUUGAUCAGACAUGGCGUUUGCUUCGGCUUUCGCUGGGCCAGCAUCAGUUUUAGCGGUUGGAUAAAUCCUCGGGAAUGUGGCUCUGCUUCGGUAGAGUGUUAUAGCCCGUGGGAAUACAGCCAGCUGGGACUGAGGAUUGCGACUUUUGUCAAGGAUGCUGGCGUAAUGGUUAAAUGCCGCCCGUCUU
rnacentral:rRNA from 1 species